AGUGAACGCUGGCGGUAGGCCUAACACAUGCAAGUCGAACGGCAGCACAGUAAGAGCUUGCUCUUACGGGUGGCGAGUGGCGGACGGGUGAGGAAUACAUCGGAAUCUACUUUUUCGUGGGGGGUAACGUAGGGAAACUUACGCUAAUACCGCAUAUGACCUACGGGUGAAAGCAGGGGAUCUUCGGACCUUGCGCGAUUGAAUGAGCCGAUGUCGGAUUAGCUAGUUGGCGGGGUAAAGGCCCACCAAGGCGACGAUCCGUAGCUGGUCUGAGAGGAUGAUCAGCCACACUGGAACUGAGACACGGUCCAGACUCCUACGGGAGGCAGCAGUGGGGAAUAUUGGACAAUGGGCGCAAGCCUGAUCCAGCCAUACUGCGUGGGUGAAGAAGGCCUUCGGGUUGUAAAGCCCUUUUGUUGGGAAAGAAAAGCAGCAGGUUAAUACCCCGCUGUUCUGACGGUACCCAAAGAAUAAGCACCGGCUAACUUCGUG
rnacentral:rRNA from 1 species